rnacentral:rRNA from 1 species
UAGUCCACGCCCUAAACGAUGUUUACUCGAUGUUUGGACUUCGGUUUGAGCAUCCAAGGGAAACCAUUAAGUAAACCACCUGGGGAGUACGUUCGCAAGAAUGAAACUCAAAGAAAUUGACGGGGGCCCGCACAAGCGGUGGAGCAUGUGGUUUAAUUCGAUGCAACGCGAAGAACCUUACCAGGAUUUGACAUCUAGGGGAAUACUCACAGAGAUGUGGUAGUCUUCGGGCUCCUAGACAGGUGCUGCAUGGCUGUCGUCAGCUCGUGUCGUGAGAUGUUGGGUUAAGUCCCGCAACGAGCGCAACCCUUACCUUUAGUUGCCAGCAUUUAGUUGGGCACUCUAGAGGGACUGCCGACGUUAAGUCGGAGGAAGGUGGGGAUGACGUCAAGUCCUCAUGGCCCUUAUAUCCUGGGGCUACACACGUGCUACAAUGGUUGAUACAGAGGGGAAGCAAGACCGUGAGGUGGAGCAAAUCCCAUAAAGUCAAUCU